CCCUACCUCCUGCAAAUCAUCCCGACCUCGCGUCCCUCCCGUGCACCGCCGGGCCGCCCAUGCUUCCGAGCGCGCAGCCGCCAGCCUUCUCCCCACCGUGCCGCCAACCAGCCUCCUUCCAGCACGCCUCCGACCGGCCUCUCCCCGAGCGCGCCGCCGUCCAGCCUCCUCCCCGAGCGCGCCGCCGCCAGGCCUCCUCCCCACCGCACCGUCGGUCGGGCCUCCUCCCUACUGUGCCGCCGCCCAGCCUCCUCCCCACCGUGCCGCCGCCCGACCUCCUCCAAGCGCGCCUACAGCCGACCUCUCCCCCACCGCGCCGCCGCCAGGCCUUCUCCCAACCGCGCCGCUGGCCGGCCUUCUCCCCAUCACCGGCAGCUUCUUCGUUCUUCUUUGGCCGCCUCCCUUCCUCCAACCUCCCGCAUCUCGCACUGCCCACAGCACAAUGCCAUCUCCCGGUGGGGCUCCGCCACCGGAGCGCCUUGUCCAUUCACAGCCACCACUCCAGGCUGUUCAACGCCACCACCCGAAGUGAUUCACCACCUCCCUCUGCUGCCCCUCCUAUGUUUGUUGGUGUAGCCAGCGGCGCUCUGCCCCUCUUCUACUUACCCUGUCCAUCUUCGCAACUCCUCGCAGGGCAUGACGAGGAUACUGCUGACAUUGAUCCCACACUUCCGGGAGGUUGUUCUGAUGGCCUUCGAGUGACUACAUAGCAGUGAAAGGGACGGUGGCAUGAAGCAGUUGAGUAGGUGUGCUUGGUGAGAAGCUACUGAACUUAUUCAGACACUACAAAUAUAGUCCCACACAGCCUCUCAACACCACUUCUUGAAUCUGCUUGAACCUUCAUGGCCCAGGCCGUUCACUGCCUCCACACAAGGCCGUUCGAUGACGCAACGCUCAAGCCAUUCACCCUUGCUAGCACCCUAGACUCCCAUGAAAUAUCUAGUCAAAAAAUGGUCGUAAGUGCAAAUACACUACACACGCUGAGCUGCAACAGGACACGGUGACAUCACUUCUUUUGGGUUGUUUUCUGUAUGCAUUUUUGUUAUUAAAUUUAGUACAACGAAACACAUGAAUCUCCAGCGGGUACCAAAUUACUGAUUCCUUAAAACAAUUAGUAGAUUUCACCAUUGGUUGGUCUACUUGUGUAAAUCUGUCAGUUCAUGACAAGUAACUUCUGAUGCUAGAAAAUGCAGGAUGUUUGUGUGAAUCUUGCUUGUUUCAGAGAGAAAAAGAGUUGGUACUUGCAUCACAUGGUGUACUGAACAAACAUACACAUUCACAUAAACAUGCUAACAACUCCUCUUGCUAUACUCAUGCUUGUACUUGUUUAUUUUUCUUGUUUGGGAAAUGGUUUCCUAUCCUCCUAACAGCUUUCUCAAAUUUCAUUUAAUUUAGUUUCAAAUCAAACCAGAGCUAAUGCAUAAAUGUCAUUGAGUGGGGUUGCUAGGAAGAUUUGCAUUAGAGAAUGCUUUGUUGGAAAAGCUUCUAUUAGUAUUAUUAACAACAAAACUCUCGGUGGACAUAGACCGUAAAUCUUGAGACUAUUUUCGCCAUUUUUUGCCCUUUGGUGUUUGGAAAUUCUAAAUUUUGUUGAUUUCAACUUGAUGAAUACAAAGAUAUAUGCCAUGAGUUUUCAAUUAUAUCUCUUCUAUUGUAAUUGAUUAUUGGUGCUUAUUAGUAGAUAUACAUGUAUGAGUUCACUCCUGACUAUUGUAAUAAAGUUUUUUAGGAUUUGGAAGUAUCUAGUCUGGAUUGACAGUGUACAUACAUAAAAAUUAAUCCCUAAUGGAUAUUUAAGAUCACUAUUUUUCUGAACAGGGUAAGAUGAUUCAACAUGGAGUACAACUGUUGUUGAAUAUGACUUGUGUACUUGCUGGACAAUAGUGUAUGAACUUUUCCGAUGGAUAUAGCAAGCCGGCGCAAAAAGAGGACUCAUACGAUGCUUCUCCAGGUCGGAGCGUACAUAUCUCGAGUGACGGGAGUAAAGUCUAGUCUGCGAAAGUAGUUGUACUGAUGCGCUACUGGUGGCGUGAAGUCUAGUCUGCUGAGGAUUAUUCUAUUUUGCAGUCUAAUGGUGCACUGCUGGUGGCAUGAAAGCAAUCAAAUGGUGAUAUAUUUGGACCUUUGCCUCGUCAGUACAACAGCACGUUCCACAACCGGUCAUUAGAAAGACCUGCGUGCAGGCCAUCCUGUGCUCCAUCCUCGGUCCAGCUCAGUCAUCUCUCUCUCAUCCUCUCUCUCUGCUCCGUGUGUGUAUGGAGUGGGAGGAGAUAGAGCAGAGGAGUGGGAGACCCUUCCAUGGCGAAUUCAUAGGCAUCUUCCAUGGAGAUUUACAAAGAAGCUUCAGUAUGAGAAAAAAUGGGUCGUCGGUUCAUCCAUGUGCAACCUCCUGCAUGGUCGACCAUUUUUAUUUGGAGCCUAUUCGCUCUAAUGCACAACAGAGGUUGGUGCUCACCUUCUUCGAGACCACUGCCUGCCGUCUGCUCCCACAUUUUCAGGCUCCUACGACAAGACCUACUGCCUCGCCACCGCCACCGGAUACACACAAUUCAUCGCAUUUGUCAUCGACCGGUUGCACCACUAUCUUCAGAAGCUCAUCACCGUGAGGAAAUCAGCCAACACCUCCCGGAGAGGAGGUUGGAAAAUUCCAAAUGGAGUUCAAACAUGAAUUUGAGAAAAUGAUUCCUCGGCUAAGUUCGAAAAAUGUCAUUCUGUGAAGUUCUGCUAUUCAGCCAUGGACUAGUCAAUGGUGGAGUUGCAAUUUUGUUUCUUUUGUGCAUACAUGAAUUGAAUGUAAUCAACGGAAAGAAACAUAUGUUGAUUCUCCAAGUUAGAGUUCAUUUUUAUUUUCUUACAAGUAGCAAAACUGCCUCUGUAUAUCAGUGCAACUUUUGCGUGAUCUUGUGUUCAUAAAUCUUGUAGUACUGUUUUUACAGGGAUCUUUCUAGUACUUUGUAAAGCAAGCAUGAUCCAUUUGUAAAAAUAUGGCAAAAGACAUCCUUCACUCUUGCAAUCUUUUGCUAAAAAAAUGUUUUAAGUUCAA